rnacentral:rRNA from 1 species
UACGGAGGGUGCAAGCGUUAUCCGGAUUCACUGGGUUUAAAGGGUGCGUAGGUGGGCAAGUAAGUCGGUGGUGAAAUCUCCGGGCUUAACCCGGAAACUGCCAUUGAUACUAUUUGUCUUGAAUACUGUGGAGGUCAGCGGAAUAUGUCAUGUAGCGGUGAAAUGCUUAGAUAUGACAUAGAACACCAAUUGCGAAGGCAGCUGGCUACACAAAUAUUGACACUGAGGCACGAAAGCGUGGGGAUCAAACAGG